GGGAGUGUGUGUUUUCCCCCCUCAAACAAGAGAAGAAAAAAAAAACACCAGGAACAAAUUUCUGAGCCGUAAGAAUCGUUCAGCAACUCUCGUCUGUUGUAUCUCCUACACCUCGCCACACCUACCAGCUUAGCUUGGAGAUGUGCAGCUCGAUUAGCAACUUCAAAUGAAAUCACUGUAACCAUCAAGAUGAAAUGUGAAUGCACGCUAAGUAUUUAGACAAGAACAAAUUCUACCAGUAACUCAUGUGUCUUGGCAGCAUACCAUUUCAACACCUCAAGUUCUCACCAGGUGCAUGAUAUACUUAUCAAUCGAACAUAUU